rnacentral:rRNA from 1 species
GGGGAAUUUUCCGCAAUGGGCGAAAGCCUGACGGAGCAAGACCGUGUGAGGGAGGAAGGCUCUUGGGUCGUAAACCUCUUUUGUCAGGGAAGAACACAAUGACGGUACCUGACGAAUCAGCCUCGGCUAACUCCGUGCCAGCAGCCGCGGUAAUACGGAGGAGGCAAGCGUUAUCCGGAAUUAUUGGGCGUAAAGCGUCCGUAGGUGGCUAAUCAAGUCUGCGGUCAAAGACCGGGGCUCAACCCUGGAAAGGCCGUGGAAACUGGUGAGCUAGAGUGCGGUAGGGGCAGAGGGAAUUCCCAGUGUAGCGGUGAAAUGCGUAGAGAUUGGGAAGAACACCGGUGGCGAAAGCGCUCUGCUGGGCCGCAACUGACACUAAUGGACGAAAGCUAGGGGAGCGAAAGGGAUUAGAUACCCCUG